rnacentral:rRNA from 1 species
GUGCAGGAAGACGGCCCUAUGGGUUGUAAACUGCUUUUCCGAAAGGCGAAACUUAGCGACGUGUCGUUAAUUGACGGUAUUUCGGGAAUAAGCAUCGGCUAACUCCGUGCCAGCAGCCGCGGUAAUACGGAGGAUGCAAGCGUUAUCCGGAUUCAUUGGGUUUAAAGGGUGCGUAGGCGGACUAAUAAGUCAGUGGUGAAAUCCUGCAGCUUAACUGCAGAACUGCCGUUGAUACUGUUAGUCUUGAGUUUGGUUAAGGUAGGCGGAAUGUGUAAUGUAGCGGUGAAAUGCUUAGAUAUUACACAGAACACCGAUUGCGAAGGCAGCUUACUGGACCGACACUGACGCUGAGGCACGAAAGCGUGGGGAUCGAAUAGGAUUAGAUACCCUGGUAGUCCACGCCGUAAACGAUGAUUACUCGCUGUUGGCGAUACACUGUCAGCGGCUAAGCAAAAGCAAUAAGUAAUCCACCUGGGGAGUACGGCCGCAAGGUUGAAACUC